UCUACUUGUUGAUUUUAAUAUUUUCAUUAGCAUGUUCUUAUUAUAUCUGGACUCUUGAGGUUAUUAUAUAAUCGCCUAUGUAACACAUAUUGAAAUCCCCAUUGCUCAUGAGCUUUCGUUCUGUGUACUAUCAUAUAUGUUGGAUGAGUUUUCUGUUCUGAUUCCCGUGCACUUUUUAUUACUUAAAGGGACACAAGAGCUGGUCGAAAGAAAGGUAUGAUGAUGAAACAAGAGCAGAGGUUGUGAGAGCAUAACUGGUCGAGCUCAUUGAGAGAUACACAGCCUGGGAAUCUGUUAGUGUAAGAUGUAGUAACUAACUUGGCUAAGGCAUUUGAAGACAACAAGAAGAGUCUCUAGGUUCGUGUUUUUGUUUAUUGUGGCAUGUUAAGACUUAUUUUGAGACUUGUAAUGUAUGUAGUCUAUUGUA